rnacentral:lncRNA from 1 species
AGAGUGUCUUAGGUCAUGUCUGGUUGGCAGGCUUCCCAGUAGCAGAAUGGGUGCUGAACAGAUCAGAGCAGAAAGGAGAACAGACCCAGGAUUCACUGCCAUACUCAGUGGCCUUAUAGGCUCUUAGGUUUCCUCUGCUCUCUUCUUUACUAAUGACCCCAGUAAUCAGUCCAUAAGGCUUGCUUUGCCCCCUGUGAAUUCACUGAAAUUGUCACAAUUUUUGGAGGAUAAAUGACCUGGAGCAAUCUUCAUGGUAUCUCAGCCUGAAGUACGCCAUUUGCCAUGAAAUAUAAGCAAGUGCCAAUGAUACCCACAGCUGUGCUGACUAAGGGGUAUUUAUGCUCUUUAAAGCAAUCCAUAUAUAGAAAGAGAUGGGGGGGGGAGGGAAAGAAAUAAGAGGGUUAUUUUGACCAUACAUCAGUCCACUUGAAAUGUUCUGAGGAUUGCAAGCACCUGUCCUUGUGUGCCCAAGGACCUGUCCUAAGGGAUUAACUCCCUCAAUUCUAACUCCCUGGGAGGUCUUAGAGGAAAGGGAGGAACAGAAGGGAUAUAUAUACCUUGUUGCGUGGUUCCAAUCACCUACCAAGCUGCAUGCUUCAGGCAGGUUUGCAGGCGCAGUAGAGUCUGGGAUGUGGACUGAGGCAGAGCAGGCUUCUAGCUCUGCCUCCAGCAAU